GACGGGUGAGGAAUACAUCGGAAUCUACUCUGUCGUGGGGGAUAACGUAGGGAAACUUACGCUAAUACCGCAUACGACCUACGGGUGAAAGCAGGGGAUCUUCGGACCUUGCGCGAUUGAAUGAGCCGAUGUCGGAUUAGCUAGUUGGCGGGGUAAAGGCCCACCAAGGCGACGAUCCGUAGCUGGUCUGAGAGGAUGAUCAGCCACACUGGAACUGAGACACGGUCCAGACUCCUACGGGAGGCAGCAGUGGGGAAUAUUGGACAAUGGGCGCAAGCCUGAUCCAGCCAUACCGCGUGGGUGAAGAAGGCCUUCGGGUUGUAAAGCCCUUUUGUUGGGAAAGAAAUCCAGCCGGCUAAUACCUGGUUGGGAUGACGGUACCCAAAGAAUAAGCACCGGCUAACUUCGUGCCAGCAGCCGCGGUAAUACGAAGGGUGCAAGCGUUACUCGGAAUUACUGGGCGUAAAGCGUGCGUAGGUGGUUAUUUAAGUCCGUUGUGAAAGCCCUGGGCUCAACCUGGGAACUGCAGUGGAUACUGGAUGACUAGAAUGUGGUAGAGGGUAGCGGAAUUCCUGGUGUAGCAGUGAAAUGCGUAGAGAUCAGGAGGAACAUCCAUGGCGAAGGCAGCUACCUGGACCAACAUUGACACUGA
rnacentral:rRNA from 1 species